CGACCUCAAAUCAGAUAGGACUACCCGCUGAACUUAAGCAUAUCAAUAAGCGGAGGAAAAGAAAACAAUCGUGAUAUCCCUAGUAACGGCGAGUGAAGAGGAUACAGCCCAACUUUGAAAUCUGGCGCUUUCAGCGUCCGAGUUGUAGUCUCGAGAAGCGUGACCCGCAGAGUCCCUCACCAAAUCGGUUCGGAUACCGAGUCAUAGAGGGUAACAAUCCCGUUGGGUCUGGGUACCGAGCAUAGCGGUCCGCUCUCUAAGAGUCGAGUUGUUUGGGAAUGCAGCUCUAAUUAGGUGGUAAAUUCCAUCCAAGGCUAAAUAUUGGCGAGAGACCGAUAGCGAACAAGUACCGUGAGGGAAAGAUGAAAAGCACUUUGGAAAGAGAAUGAAAGAGUAUGUGAAAUUGCUCGAGAGGAAACGCUUGAAGUCAGAUACGCGCGGUGCGGUUCAGCUCGGUUCGCCGAGUGCAUUUCGCACCAUUGCGCGCCAGCAUCGGUUCAUGAGGCCGUAUUAGCGCGAUAGGAACGUAGCCGUCCUCGGACGGUGUUAUAGCCUGUCGUUGUGCCGGACUUGUGGACCGAGGAGAGCAGCGCGCCGCAAGGUACAUCUCGAGGGAUGAAGCGCUCAGGAUGCUUGUCGGAAUGGCUUUAAACGACCCGUCUUGAAACACGG
rnacentral:rRNA from 1 species